rnacentral:rRNA from 1 species
GUGUCAGCAGCCGCGGUAAGACAGAGGGUGCAAACGUUGUUCGGAAUUACUGGGCGUAAAGCGCAUGUAGGCGGCCAAGCAGGUCGGAUGUGAAAUCCCUCGGCUCAACCAAGGAAGUGCAUUCGAAACCGCAUGGCUGGAGUCCCGGAGAGGGUAGUGGAAUUCUCGGUGUAGAGGUGAAAUUCGUAGAUAUCGAGAGGAACACCGGCGGCGAAAGCGGCUACCUGGACGAGGACUGACGCUGAGAUGCGAAAGCGUGGGGAGCAAACAGGAUUAGAUACCCUGGUAGUCC